CUGGCUCAGGACGACCGCCGUAGAGUUUGAUCCCUGGCUCAGAGCGAACGCUGGCGGCAGGCCUAACACAUGCAAGUCGAACGAACUCUUCGGAGUUAGUGGCGGACGGGUGAGUAACACGUGGGAACGUGCCUUUAGGUUCGGAAUAACUCAGGGAAACUUGUGCUAAUACCGAAUGUGCCCUUCGGGGGAAAGAUUUAUCGCCUUUAGAGCGGCCCGCGUCUGAUUAGCUUGUUGGUGGGGUAAUGGCCCACCAAGGCUACGAUCAGUAGCUGGUCUGAGAGGAUGACCAGCCACAUUGGGACUGAGACACGGCCCAAACUCCUACGGGAGGCAGCAGUGGGGAAUCUUGCGCAAUGGGCGAAAGUCCUGACGCAGCCAUGUCCGCGUGUAUGAUGAAGGUCUUAGGAUUGUAAAAUACUUUCACCGGUGAAGAAAUG
rnacentral:rRNA from 1 species